CUAGAAAAUAGACAUAAUGACUAGUCUUCACUUCUGUAUGUCUUCUCCUAUCUUUGGUCCAUAUUUAAUACAAGAAGAACAGGAGUUAACAAGCAACAAAGGAAAUUAACUGUCAGUGAAAUCCACGGCACUUAAAACUGGACAAACUUGAAGGCAAAGGAUGGCUAAAAAAGGAUACAGUGCUACUGGAACUGGUGGCUGUUGGAGGCUGCAGACAAGAUGCCAAAGAGUAUUCUGGCCCCAGCAAAAGAGCACAGAGAGCCCUCUCAUCUUAGGUGGGGGCUGAAUAUUGUGGAGAUGGCUGCAGUGUGCUUUAAAUUGGACCAGAUCUUGGUUCCAGGAAUUCAUUGCAAGUGAUCUCUAAGUUUCCUUGUGUGGUCCCUGACACCAGAGUGCUGACCCAAGAGUGCAAGAGUAAGAAGAUGCUCCAGAGCAGAACCCUGACCACAUCCCAUUUGCCAACUAAUACCACUGUGCUCCUAUUCUGUGUUUCCUUCCUGGGGUCCAAGUAACCACAGGGUGAAAUACUCAUUUUCUAAUAUCAUCUUCAUAUCUACUAGAGAAUGUACUGCUAGAAAGUGAGGGAGAGAAAUAAGCUCAUGCUCUCCUCUAGUUCAUGCCAAAAAUUUUCAGACUUUAUUCUAUGAUUAGUGGCACAGACAAAUGUAGGGGCUUUGAAAAGGAGAAGUUCGAUGUGAAAGUUGUAGGAAAACUUGUAGUAAAGUUGUAGGAAAACUUUUUGGUAAGAGUAUGAUGUCAAAGGGAAGGAGGUAAAAUUUGUAGUGAUGGACAGGACAUGAUGAUGCACAUACAGUGACACAUUGUAGAAUCUGAUCUGCAAAAUCAAAGUAACUGGAAUGGAGUUGGAAUUUCUUGAUGAGGAAAAUAAAACCAGCAGUUUUUGUAAAGGUGGUUAGUCUUGGUGAACCUCCUGGAAAAAAAAAUAAAGAAGGAAGGAAAGAAGGAAAAUUAACUUUUUUUAAGAUAUAGAGGUAAUAGAUGGGAAGCAAACCUUGAUAUAAGGAAUAGAAUUUGCUUGUGUAAAGGAAUAAUUGCUUAUUAUCUACAGUUAGCUUAUUGUACUAUCUUCACUGGGAAUUUGAGACCUAGAAAACUGAAGCUGGAAUAAUAAAAGUCAGAUAAGUCUGUGAGCCUUACUAGAGUGAGUCUGUUGAACUCCAGUAGAAAAAA